AAGUCGUAACAAGGUUUCCGUAGGUGAACCUGCGGAAGGAUCAUUACCAAGAUAGAAGCCCCUUGGGCGCUAUCCCCACCCGUGUCUACAUACUUUUGUUGCUUUGGCGGGCCGUGGUCUUCCACUGUGGGCUCUGCUCGCAAGUGCCCGCCAGAGGACCAAACGCUGAAAUUUAGUGAUGUCUGAGUACUAUAUAAUAGUAAAAA
rnacentral:misc_RNA from 1 species